UUCUAAAUCCUUUUUCACUUCCGUCCAGCAUUUUUCAUAAUUAUCUUUGAAUAAAUUCACAUUCUUGGCAGUCAUAUUAACCCCCAGGUAUUUCACUUUCUUAACCAAUGUUAAACCUGUCUCCUUCUGAAACCUCCCCCUCUCAGUCACUGUUAUUCUCUAAAACCUUAGUUUUUAACUUACUCAACUUGAAUCCUGCAACCUGACCAAAUUCUUGAAUCAGUUCCAAUACUCUUUUAGUGCUAGAUUCUGGCUCCUGUAAUGUCAAUACUAGAUCACCAGCAAAUGCUUUCAAUUUGUACUGUUUGGCUCCGACUUGUAUACCUUUAACCAAUUGGUCCCUUCUAAUCAUAUUUAAGAGAACCUCCAGGUCCGAUAUAAAAAGCAAUAGGGAAAUUGGGCAACCUUGUCGCGCUUUUUAAUUUCGUGACUGCUGUCACCAUCUGCAGUAAUCAUGGAGCCAUCUGCAGUGAUCAUGGAGCCCAAGAAAGUAAAAUCUCUCAUUGCCUCCGUUUCUUCCCCUUCUAUUUGCCAGGAGGUGAUGGGACCAGUGGCCAUCAUCUUCGGUUUUUUGAUGUUGAGCUUCAGACCAUAUUUUGUGGUCUCCUCUUUCACCCUCAUUAAGAGGUUAAUUCCUCCUCGCUUUCUGCCAUCAAGGUUGUGUCAUCUGCAUAUCUGAGGUUGUUGAUAUUUCUUCCGGCAAUCUUAAUUCUGGCUUGGGAUUCAUCCACUCCAGCCUUUCGGAUGUUGAAUUCCGCAUAGAAGUUAAAUAAGCGGGGAGCAAUAUACAGCCUUGUUGUACUCUUUCCCAAUUUUGAACCAAUCAGUUGUUCCAUGUCCAGUUCUAACUGUAGCUUCUUGUCCCACAUAUAGAUUUCUUAUGUUAAGGAAAUUAGGGGGGGGCACAUCUUUAAAGUUAUUAAAUGUUACAGAUAUUAUGCCUGAAUGUAUCCGUUCAACUUGACAGCUCAGGGAAGUUACCAUAUUUUUUGCUCUAUAAGACUCACUUUUUCCCUCCUAAAAGUAAGGGAAAUGUGUGUGGGUCUUAUGGAGUGAAUGCAGGCUGCACAGCUAUCACAGAAGCAAGAACAGCAAGAGGGAUUGCUACUUUCACUGCGCAGCGAUCCCUCUUGCUGUUCUGGCUUCUGAGAUUCAGAAUACUUUUUUUCUUGUUUUCCUCCUCCAAAAACUAGAUGCGUCUUGUGGUCUGGUGCAUCUUAUAGAGCGAAAAAUACGGUACCUAGCUUUAAAAAUAAUAUAAAAUCAACACCUUUGCCAGUUUCCUCCAUUCCAAAGCUAUUUUCCCCUUGAAAAAGGACUCCAGGAAGUGUCCAGGGGUGACAAUUGCUGAGCUGGACCAAGGAAAGCCUAAUCCUAUCACCAAACGUGCCAAGGGGCCAGACAUGCAAAGGAAGUUCUAUUGUACUUUGGGUGAUGGGACUUCAGAGGUGUUUGCCUAUGCUAAUCUUAUGCCUGAGUCUUGCCCUGACAUGGGCAUGCUUAUGCUAAUCUUUUAUCAAGGACUUGUCUGGACAUGUUUGCCAAGGUUAGACUAGUGUAACCCCUGUCUACCCCUCCACUAUUGUGACAUGUCAGUGAUGUAACAAUCAUAUAGCAAUGAUGCUCUACGAACUGUAUUCUGGGAUAUGGUGGGAAAGUUUUAAAAGUCUUUGUCACCCCAUGCUUGGGGUCCAAAAUUCUUCUUUGAACCUGUUGCGCAAUAAACUUUGGU
rnacentral:lncRNA from 1 species